GGCGUCAUAGCUCAGCUGGGAGAGCAACAGACUGAAGUGUGUCACUUCUUUCGUCAUCUGGAGGUCCCGUGUUCAAUCCACGGUGAUGCCA